GAAGGGCGUUUGGUGGAUGCCUUGGCAGCAAGAGGCGAUGAAGGACGUGAUACUCUGCGAUAAGUCAUGGGGAGCCGAGAAUAGGCUUUGAUCCAUGAAUUUCCGAAUGGGGCAACCCACCUGACAGUUCGCUGUUGUUAGCUUUGCUAUCGACAGCUUCUGAAACAGGUACUUAUGACCUGAAUACAUAGGGUUAUAAGAGCGAACCCGGGGAACUGAAACAUCUAAGUACCCGGAGGAAAGGAAAUCAAUUGAUACUCCCCUAGUAGCGGCGAGCGAACGGGGACCAGCCGAGCCGUGAGUGUGAUCGGAAUUACCUGGGAAGGUAAGCCGCAGUGGGUGACAGCCCCGUACGAGAAGCAUGAUCGGACGCAUUAAGUAGGGCGGGACACGUGAAAUCCUGUCUGAAGAUCGGGGGACCACCCUCGAAGGCUAAGUACUCCUUGCUGACCGAUAGCGAACCAGUACCGUGAGGGAAAGGUGAAAAGCACCCCGACGAGGGGAGUGAAACAGUACCUGAAACCGAACGCCUACAAGCAGUCGGAGGCUCCUUGAGAGCUGACGGCGUACCUUUUGUAUAAUGGGUCAUCGACUUGGUCUCACGAGCAAGCUUAAGCCGUUAGGUGUAGGCGCAGCGAAAGCGAGUCUUAAUAGGGCGAUUUAGUUCGUGGGAUCAGACCCGAAACCGAGUGAUCUAGGCAUGACCAGGAUGAAGGUUGGGUAACACCAACUGGAGGUCCGAACCCACACCUGUUGAAAAAGGUCGGGAUGAGUUGUGCCUAGGGGUGAAAGGCCAAUCAAACUCGGAGAUAGCUGGUUCUCCGCGAAAUCUAUUUAGGUAGAGCGUCAUCCGAAUACCCCGGGGGGUAGAGCACUGGAUGGGUAAUGGGGCCCCACAGGCUUACUGAUCCUAACCAAACUCCGAAUACCCGGGAGUACUAGAUGGCAGACACACGGCGAAUGCUAACGUCCGUCGUGAAGAGGGAAACAACCCUGACCUCCAGCUAAGGCCCCUAAUUCAUGGCUAAGUGGGAAAGCAGGUGGGACGACCAAAACAACCAGGAGGUUGGCUUAGAAGCAGCCAUCCUUUAAAGAUAGCGUAACAGCUCACUGGUCUAAACAAGUUGUCCUGCGGCGAAGAUGUAACGGGGCUCAAGCCAUGAGCCGAAGCUGAGGAUGCACAUAGUGCAUGGUAGCGGAGCGUAGUGUGACAUAACUCUUUGCCUCUUCGGCACCCUCGGGUGUCUUGGAGGCGCGGAGUUUUCGAUGAAGCCGGGGCGUGAGCCAUCCGGUGGAGAGAUCACUAGCGAGAAUGAUGACAUGAGUAGCGACAAACAGGGUGAGAGACCCUGUCGCCGAAAGUCCAAGGGUUCCUGCUUAAAGCUAAUCUGAGCAGGGUGAGCCGACCCCUAAGGCGAGGCCGAAAGGCGUAGUCGAUGGGAACCAGGUUAAUAUUCCUGGGCCAGA
rnacentral:rRNA from 1 species